rnacentral:pre_miRNA from 1 species
CCGGCAGUUGCCUGUUGAUCCGCCGCAAUUAUGAUGGACGAAUCACAGUCAACUGUUGGCA